rnacentral:rRNA from 1 species
GACGAACGCUGGCGGCGUGCUUAACACAUGCAAGUCGAAUGGAAAGGCCCUGCUUUUGUGGGGUGCUCGAGUGGCGAACGGGUGAGUAACACGUGAGUAACCUGCCCUUGACUUUGGGAUAACUUCAGGAAACUGGGGCUAAUACCGGAUAGGAGCUCCUGCUGCAUGGUGGGGGUUGGAAAGUUUCGGCGGUUGGGGAUGGACUCGCGGCUUAUCAGCUUGUUGGUGGGGUAGUGGCUUACCAAGGCUUUGACGGGUAGCCGGCCUGAGAGGGUGACCGGCCACAUUGGGACUGAGAUACGACCCAGACUCCUACGGGAGGCAGCAGUGGGGAAUAUUGCACAAUGGGCGGAAGCCUGAUGCAGCAACGCCGCGUGCGGGAUGACGGCCUUCGGGUUGUAAACCGCUUUCGCCUGUGACGAAGCGUGAGUGACGGUAAUGGGUAAAGAAGCACCGGCUAACUACGUG